rfam:Onchocerca flexuosa genome assembly, scaffold: OFLC_contig0017154
GAAACGACUGAUUGCGGUGAAUUAUUAUCAGACAAUUUUCGUGUAAAGUAAUUGAGAAUCUAUUUUAUCGCAUAGUGAUAGCUAAUAGAGAUAUUCCUUAAACGAAUUAGAGAAAGACUGAAGUCAUUCUAAUCAGCGGAAAAGAUAAAGAAGCAAUAUUCCGAAGCAAAGCCGGAAUAUUGGAAGAUGAUCUGUAAACGAUUCUAUUCGCAAUUCUGAUGAGCAUAUUGAUCAUCUGAUUUUGGUAUCGGGGCGAAAGAGUAAUCGAAUUAUCCAGUAGCUGAUUCCUUCUGAAGUUCCCUCAGGAUAGCUGGAGUACGUAAUGAAGCUGUUAUAUUUGGUAAGCGAAUGAUUGGAGGAAUUGCGGGACGAAACAUCUUCAAUUUAUUCUCAAGCUUUCAAUGAGUAUGACGUCUCGUUUGCUUGAAUAAAACGUAGAUUUGAGUGUGUGCUUCACGUACGCCAUUUCUGGUACGUAAAACUAACGCGCUGUGGAAUGUACAGUAUGCAGCAUUGUCAGAAAUCACGCUGAACUGUUCUGUAUCGAUGAUUCCAUAAUCUUCAUUAUAAUAAAGAUGGACAUGAUAAUAUG